rnacentral:tRNA from 1 species
GGAAAUAUAGCUCAAUUGGUAGAGCAUUCGGUUGAUAGCCGAACGGUUGUAGGUUCAAGUCCUACUAUUUUCACCA